rnacentral:sRNA from 1 species
UAUUACAGAGUUCUUGCCCCCCGGGGUAGACCUCCCACCCUUGAAUACAUACUAUUGUUGCUUUGGCGGGCUGCCGUAAGGCAUCGGCUUUGGCUGACCUGCCCGCCAAAGGACCCAACUCUGUAUUAAGUGAUGUCUGAGUACUAUUUUAAUAGUUAAAACUUUCAACAACGGAUCUCUUGGUUCUGGCAUCGAUGAAGAACGCAGCGAAAUGCGAUAAGUAAUGUGAAUUGCAGAAUUCAGUGAAUCAUCGAAUCUUUGAACGCACAUUGCGCCCCUUGGUAUUCCGAGGGGCAUGCCUGUUCGAGCGUCAUUAGUACCAAAUCAAGCUCGUCUUGGUGUUGGGGUUCGCCAUUUGGCGGCCCUUAAACUCAGUGGCGGUGCUGCCGGGCUCUAAGCGUAGUAAUUUUCUCGCUAUAGGGUCCCGGGAGACGCCCGCCAUAACUCUUUAUAACUGGUUGACCUCGGAUCAGGUAGGGAUACCCGCUGAACUUAAGCAUAUCAAUA